UUGUAACAUAGAAUCUGUAAGCAAUUUUGUGCAUCCACAGCUACUUUCAUAACUACUAACAUACUGAGUGGUUGCAUUUAAAAUAUUAGGACCUGUGUACCUGCAUUCAUAGCUGCAGAUAGGUGAAUCCACCAGUUACCUUAACUACCUACUAACAUACCGAGUACUUGCAUUUAAAAUGUUGGACUUGAAAAAAGGACUUGUGCAUGUGCAUCCACCACUUACAUUCAUAGCGGUUAUGUUAUGUGCAUCCACAGCUACUAUUAUAACUAGUACUAACAU